UGGACAAUUAACUUGAAUAACAGGACCCAAGACAUCGGUUAUACACUAUGUAUUUAUGCUGCGUUCAUUACUUUAGGUUGGGUGCAAAUACUUAGUGGUAGUGGAAUCACCUUACGGGACUUCAUGGUAAUAAGCAGCAGCGAAAAUUCGGAAGAUGGACAGUGGUUUUUAUGGUCGUUUGUAAUUGGCUGUGGUCUAGGAGCAUUGACUGGUGGCAUUUUCUACGAAAAAGUCAACCGGGAUCUUGUUUUUGGCCCAUGCCUACUUGUACUAGCUUGUACAAUGGCUGUCGCGCCAUGGUGCUCCUUGUACUGGGCGGCGAUUUCCGUACACGUUAUUCAGGGCAUUGCAAUGAUGGUGGUUAUCAUAGGUGGAAAUGCAGAGAUCCUGUCAAUGUGGAGGGACAACCGGAUCACCUUUUUAGUCCUGUACCUUCUACACAGACUCGGCCGUUUCA